GUCUGGUAGCUGUAACUGGGUUAUUGUUAGGGUCUGGUAGCUGGGUUACUGUUAGGGUCUGGUUGUUGGGUUAUUGUCAGGGUCUGGUAGCUGGGUUAUUGUUAGGGUCUAGUAGCUGUGACUGGGUUAUUGUUAGGGUCUGGUAGCUGUGACUGGGUUAUUGUUAGGGUCUGGUAGCUGGGUUACUGUUAGGGUCUGGUAGCUGUGACUGGGUUACUGUUAGGGUCUGGUAGCGGUGACUGGGUUAUUGUUAGGGUCUGGUAGCUGUGACUGGGUUAUUGUUAAGGUCUGGUAGCUGUGACUGGGUUACUGUUAGGGUCUGGUAGCUGUGACUGGGUUACUGUUAGUGUCUGGUAGCUGUGACUGGGUUAUUGUUAGGUUCUGGUAACUGUGACUGGGUUAUUGUUAGGGUCUGGUAGCUGGGUUACUGUUAGGGUCUGAUAGCUGUGACUGGGUUAUUGUUAUGGUCUUGUAACUGUGACUGGGUUAUUGUUAGGGUCUGGUAGCUGUGACUGGGUUACUGUUAGGGUCUGGUAGCUGUGACUGGGUUAUUGUUAGGGUCUUGUAACUGUGACUGGGUUACUGUUAGUGUCUGGUAGCUGUGACUGGGUUAUUGUUAGGGUCUUGUAACUGUGACUGGGUUAUUGUUAGGGUCUGGUAGCUGUGACUGGGUUACUGUUAGGGUCUGGUAGCUGUGACUGGGUUAUUGUUAGGGUCUGGUAGCUGUGACUGGGUUAUUGUUAG
rnacentral:lncRNA from 1 species